UACGUAGGGGGCAAGCGUUGUCCGGAAUCAUUGGGCGUAAAGCGCGCGUAGGCGGCCCGGUAAGUCCGCUCUGAAAGUCCAAGGCUCAACCUUGGGAUGCGGGUGGAUACUGCCGGGCUAGAGUCCGGAAGAGGCGAGUGGAAUUCCUGGUGUAGCGGUGGAAUGCGCAGAUAUCAGGAAGAACACCUAUGGCGAAGGCAGCUCUCUGGGACGGUACUGACGCUGAGGAGCGAAAGCAUGGGGAGCGAACAGG
rnacentral:rRNA from 1 species